rnacentral:rRNA from 1 species
UACGGAGGGUGCAAGCGUUGUCCGGAAUCACUGGGCGUAAAGGGCGCGUAGGCGGCUCGGUAAGUAGGGGGUGAAAUCCUGCGGCUUAACCGCAGGGCUGCCUUCUAAACUGUCGAGCUCGAGCACGGUAGAGGCAGAUGGAAUUCCCGGUGUAGCGGUGGAAUGCGUAGAGAUCGGGAGGAACACCGGUGGCGAAGGCGGGUCUCUGGGCCGAUACUGACGCUGAGGAGCGAAAGCGUGGGGAGCGAACAGG